CAUGGCUUUUAAAUAUUGUGGCAACAAGCAGCCGCCACAGUAUGACAACCACAGACAGGUGGUGAGGUUCCCUGAGUGGGAAACGAACCUGGG